AGUGAACGCUGGCGGUAGGCCUAACACAUGCAAGUCGAACGGCAGCACAGUAAGAGCUUGCUCUUACGGGUGGCGAGUGGCGGACGGGUGAGGAAUACAUCGGAAUCUACUUUUUCGUGGGGGAUAACGUAGGGAAACUUACGCUAAUACCGCAUACGACCUACGGGUGAAAGCAGGGGAUCUUCUGACCUUGCGCGAUUGAAUGAGCCGGUGUGGGAUUAGCUAGUUGGCGGGGUAAAGGCCCACCAAGGCGACGAUCCGUAGCUGGUCUGAGAGGAGGGACAGCCACUGAGGAAGUGAGACACGGCCCAGACUCCGACGGGAGGCAGCAGUGGGGAAUAUUGGACAAAGGGCGGAAGCCUGAUCCAGCCAUACCGCGUGGGUGAAGAAGGCCUGCGGGUUGUAAAGCCCUUUUGUGGGGAAAGAAAAGCAGCAGGUUAAUACCCCGCUGUUCUGACGGUACCCAAAGAAUAAGCACCGGCUAACUUCGU
rnacentral:rRNA from 1 species